rnacentral:rRNA from 1 species
AGCGGAACUCGAAAGCCUGUCUCAGUUCGGAUCGGAGUCUGCAACCCGACUCCGUGAAGCUGGAUUCGCUGUAAUCGCGCAUCAGCCAUGGCGCGGUGAAUACGUUCCCGGGCCUUGUACACACCGCCCGUCAAGCCAUGGAAGCCGGGAGUGCCUGAAGUAUGCAACCGCAAGGAGCGUCCUAAGGUAAAACCGGUGACUGGGGCUAAGUCGUAACAAGGUAUC